UUGAUACUGAAACUGUUUGUUUUCUUGUCAGCGAAAACAAACAACAAUCAAAGGAUUUUUUUGGGUUUAUGUGGUCGAAUCCAAAUAGGAAGCAAAAGGGUGUAGUACGAUCAAAUAUAAGGGGUUUGUUUUCUCAUUAAAUUCGAAAAGAAGCUGCAAUUAAAGCUGGUCGUUUGAAUAGCUGACAUGAGACGACCAGGAUCGUUAAAGGUGUUACAUACGACGAUGUUCUAGUUUGUGAUGAUGGACAUGCUCAUUUUAAGUAUCUACAUUGGGCCCAAAACUAUCAAGCUUUAAGAAGCGGGUUCUGUAUCUCCAGGUACUUGAAGAUUGAUGCUUACGAUGACUUCCUCUGUUUCUUCUCAGAACUAAGGUUCACUUUCUGCAUCGUCUCUGUUAUAGGUGGGUCUUGCAGUGAGUUUGUCAAGAUGGGAAAUUUUAAUUAAGUUGCCCUACCAAUGGUGGUGUACAAAAACCGGUUUUUUAAACAGCCCGACCCGAACCCGACCCGGUUUUUUGGUCAACGUGACCAAACCCAGUUUUGGGUCAAACUUUGACCUGGUGUUGAUCAGGUUUAUGACCAAAAAUUGAACCCGACCCGAUCUCAACCCUAUAGAAAAAACUGAAAAACCCAAACCCGGUUAGUAAUCUUCUUCAUGUUUAGCUUUUACGCCUUUCUUAUUGUGUUCUCUUGUGGUGUAAUCUUAAUGUUGUAAAAUGUUAUAACUUAAAAGUAUGUCUUCAAAUA